rnacentral:rRNA from 1 species
CCUACGGGGGGCAGCAGUGAGGAAUAUUGGUCAAUGGUCGCGAGACUGAACCAGCCAAGCCGCGUGAGGGAGGAAGGUCCUCAGAAUUGUAAACUUCUUUUUUCAGGGAAUAAAGACUGGCACGCGUCCCUGUAUGAGUGUACUUUAAGAACAAGCAUCGGCUAACUCCGUGCCAGCAGCCGCGGUAAUACGGAGGAUGCGAGCGUUAUCCGGAUUUAUUGGGGUUAAAGGGGGCGUAGGGGGGUUGUUACGUCAGCUGUCAAAGCCUGGGGCUCAACCCAGGACCUGCAGUUGAUACUGGCAGACUUGAGUGCAGGAGAGGUAAGCGGAAUGCGUGGUGUAGCGGUGAAAUGCGUAGAUAUCAGGAAGAACUCCGAUGGCGAAGGCAGCAUGCUGGACUGACACUGACGCUGAGGCACGAAAGCGUGGGUAGCAAACAGGAUUAGAUACCCUAGUAGUC